rnacentral:rRNA from 1 species
AAAGNUUCGUAGUGAACUGCGGAGGAUCAUUACAGUAUGAUUAAAGGGGGUUUCGCUGGCCCGCCAGGGCAAUGUGCGUGCCCCCGUCUACCAUAUUCAAUAUUUAUACACCUGUGCACCCAUGGCGAGUGCCUCCUCCCCCGUUUUGGAGACGUCCAGUCGGGCCGAGGCAUUCCCGCUUUCUAUCUUGUAUCACAACCCUGUUCAAACGCAUGUCUAUUUGAAGCCCCACGGGGUGGAUUUUAAAAUCGGUACAACUUUCAACAACGGAUCUCUUGGCUUUCGCAUCGAUGAAGAACGCCGCGAAAGUGCGAAACGUAAUGUGAAUUGCAGAAUUCAGUGAAUCAUCGAAUCUUUGAACGCAUCUUGCGCUCCUUGGUAUUCCGAGGAGCAUGCCUGUUUGAGUGUCGUGAAACUCCCUCAACCCUUACUCCUUUGUUGGAAGUAAGGUUUGGAUUUGGAUGCCUGCGGCUUGGCCCAGCCUUGCCCGCUCGUCUUUAAAUGCAUUAGCUUGGGUCCCAAUCUCGGAGUUGGUUCGAUUGACGGUGUGAUAAUUAAAUGCUUACUUACCACCGUUUGGGUCGACUCUGAACCCCCGGGGGCCUGCUUACAGCCGUCUUCGGACAAUGCCUUUCAUGUCAUCUGACCUCAAAUCA